rnacentral:rRNA from 1 species
UAACGGGGCUAAACCAUGCACCGAAGCUGCGGCAGCGACGCUUAUGCGUUGUUGGGUAGGGGAGCGUUCUGUAAGCCUGUGAAGGUGUGCUGUGAGGUAUGCUGGAGGUAUCAGAAGUGCGAAUGCUGACAUAAGUAACGAUAAAGCGGGUGAAAAGCCCGCUCGCCGGAAGACCAAGGGUUCCUGUCCAACGUUAAUCGGGGCAGGGUGAGUCGACCCCUAAGGCGAGGCCGAAAGGCGUAGUCGAUGGGAAACAGGUUAAUAUUCCUGUACUUGGUGUUACUGCGAAGGGGGGACGGAGAAGGCUAUGUUGGCCGGGCGACGGUUGUCCCGGUUUAAGCGUGUAGGCUGGUUUUCCAGGCAAAUCCGGAAAAUCAAGGCCGAGGCGUGAUGACGAGGCACUACGGUGCUGAAGCAACAAAUGCCCUGCUUCCAGGAAAAGCCUCUAAGCAUCAGGUAACAUCAAAUCGUACCCCAAACCGACACAGGUGGUCAGGUAGAGAAUACCAAGGCGCUUGAGAGAACUCGGGUGAAGGAACUAGGCAAAAUGGUGCCGUAACUUCGGGAGAAGGCACGCUGAUACGUAGGUGAAGCGACUUGCUCGUGGAGCUGAAAUCAGUCGAAGAUACCAGCUGGCUGCAACUGUUUAUUAAAAACACAGCACUGUGCAAACACGAAAGUGGACGUAUACGGUGUGACGCCUGCCCGGUGCCGGAAGGUUAAUUGAUGGGGUUAGCGCAAGCGAAGCUCUUGAUCGAAGCCCCGGUAAACGGCGGCCGUAACUAUAACGGUCCUAAGGUAGCGAAAUUCCUUGUCGGGUAAGUUCCGACCUGCACGAAUGGCGUAAUGAUGGCCAGGCUGUCUCCACCCGAGACUCAGUGAAAUUGAACUCGCUGUGAAGAUGCAGUGUACCCGCGGCAAGACGGAAAGACCCCGUGAACCUUUACUAUAGCUUGACACUGAACAUUGAGCCUUGAUGUGUAGGAUAGGUGGGAGGCUUUGAAGUGUGGACGCCAGUCUGCAUGGAGCCGACCUUGAAAUACCACCCUUUAAUGUUUGAUGUUCUAACGUGGACCCGUGAUCCGGGUUGCGGACAGUGUCUGGUGGGUAGUUUGACUGGGGCGGUCUCCUCCUAAAGAGUAACGGAGGAGCACGAAGGUUGGCUAAUCCUGGUCGGACAUCAGGAGGUUAGUGCAAUGGCAUAAGCCAGCUUGACUGCGAGCGUGACGGCGCGAGCAGGUGCGAAAGCAGGUCAUAGUGAUCCGGUGGUUCUGAAUGGAAGGGCCAUCGCUCAACGGAUAAAAGGUACUCCGGGGAUAACAGGCUGAUACCGCCCAAGAGUUCAUAUCGACGGCGGUGUUUGGCACCUCGAUGUCGGCUCAUCACAUCCUGGGGCUGAAGUAGGUCCCAAGGGUAUGGCUGUUCGCCAUUUAAAGUGGUACGCGAGCUGGGUUUAGAACGUCGUGAGACAGUUCGGUCCCUAUCUGCCGUGGGCGCUGGAGAACUGAGGGGGGCUGCUCCUAGUACGAGAGGACCGGAGUGGACGCAUCACUGGUGUUCGGGUUGUCAUGCCAAUGGCACUGCCCGGUAGCUAAAUGCGGAAGAGAUAAGUGCUGAAAGCAUCUAAGCACGAAACUUGCCCCGAGAUGAGUUCUCCCUGACCCUUUAAGGGUCCUGAAGGAACGUUGAAGACGACGACGUUGAUAGGCCGGGUGUGUAAGCGCAGCGAUGCGUUGAGCUAACCGGUACUAAUGAACCGUGAGGCUUAACCUUACAACGCCGAAG